CUUCCUAGCUUUUCUGGCCACUGUAAAUAAUCCAAUUCCUUUGCACUUCCGGCUUUCUGGGCAGGAAACUUUAAUUCUUUCACAUCAUUCACAAUUUUUAACGGUAGAUUUCAAAAAGUUGUCAGUUGAUUUGUUUCCAAAAUAAACUUUAAGGUUAGGUUUCUGAGUUUUCUGCUCUUCGCCAGCUCGCAAAAAAGAAUAAAAUUCUUCCGUUUCUGGAAUAUGUCGCGUGGCGAUAAUUUCCCACCCCUCAAGAAAGCUCGUGCUAAUUCUAAUUCAACAAUAACGAGUCUUCUCACGGGUCAAAAUACCCCACAGCAAGCUCCCGGAAUGCAUCUGCCAAUUUCAAGUGAUUCCGGGGAGUACCAGCCAAUUUUUAGUGCUGAAAUUAGCAAUAUAAUGCGAGGAUUUGGGGACUGUGAACGUCCCAUGAAGGAGUCUGUUGCAUUAGUUGAGAAGAUCGUCUACCAGCAGAUGCGGGGGAUUCUUCAGGAGGCAAUUGACUGCGCUGUGGCCAGGAAGGGGGUGCCAUGUCCCAGUCAGAAGGACUUUGAGUUCAUGAUGCGAAAGCACCCACUGAAGAUCCAUCGUUUGCAGAAGUACAUGAAGCACCAUCAAAAGUAUCAGGAUCUCAUUGCCGGGCGUGUUGGAACGGCAAUUCCCAAAGAAGUGGAGACAAGUCCGGGAUCAGAAUCAGACGAUGAUAGCGACAGGGAAGUUCCCGAGAGGUAUGAUGAGGAAAAGACACGGAGGAUGUUUCGAGCAAAUCGCAUCUCACAGUCACUCAACAGUGAGCAAUACAAGCAAUUCAGUACGGCCAGGACAACGUCCUUCUACGAUCGCAAUACAGCCACAAUGAAGACGAAAUUCCGUACGUGGCUCAGUAUUCCGGCUGAAGUGCAAAUCACAUCGGAAGUUCUGAAGAUUUUGGCAUAUCUCGUGCAUGAAACAAUUGCUGUUAUUGUUGACUACUGCAUCCUGACCCGGUUGAAUUCCAGCAAUAGGAUGACUGAACCAUACAGCCGCAUAUCCUCGGGAUCAACGCAUGGAAUGCUCCAUCUCUGUCCGGAAAUUACCCAAGGAAGGGGAUGCGAUGGUGUUAAACCCAUUACGGUGCAGGAGAUAAAUGAAGCAUUGCGACGUCACACCUUGAUGGCGUCAAAGCCAAUGGGUCUGUUCAGGAAUGUGAGGUCAGGAACCAAUUCACCCUUUCUUGCCAUUUAAAUUCAUCGGAAAUCUUCUAAAAGAAUAGAAAGUCAAAUUUAUUAGCUACCGGAAUGGAAAAGACUGAAAGUUUUAUUUGACAAUAUGAAAAAAAAACAUCACAAACUGUUUCUACAGAUACGACUCUUCAGUUAUGUCCUUUAUCACCACUUCUUCCUUGACAACUUUGGCUGGAUUUUUGUAGUAUUUCCUGAUGACUGGAGAUAUGAGGGAUGCAUCGAUGCUAUGAGGAUCAUUACCCCCAUUUAUUAAAUUAACAAUAAACGCCACAAGAAUGGUUGAAAUGGUUCCCAGGAAAGUGUACCACAUGUAGGAGAUUCGAUAGAGUGGCAUUAUGCUAUAUAAAAACAAAAUGUGUGCAAUACCAUACAUAUUGGGAGCGAUCCUCCUGUGAGAACAUGCCGGAAGCCCUAUUGAGGAAAAAUCUCGUUUUAAUGCAGCAUCUUCUGCCGUGUUGUGCAUUGGGGCGGGGUGCAAUGGGAAGAUUCUAGAGCAGACUCUUUUGCAAAAAUUGCGUGGCAGCGAAGAUCCGUAACGGAAUAUUCCUGUUUCACGGGGCGAUAAAGGUGUGGAGUGGAUAAGAUAACCGGGUAGAAUUCUUUGAGUAUUGGUUGGCAUGGAUGGACUCGGCGGAAAGCACCUCGCAAUGGAAUGUUCUCUCUCUCUCAAUGGGGCAAACCUGAAGAAAAAUGUUCGGGUAUAAGGCAGCAGCAAGUAAAGAGAAAGAGAGACUCUCUCACCAAUGAAGAGUGUGCAGAUGACGAGAUCGAGCCGCGAUGGAGUAGGAAAGAAGUGGGUCACCGUAUAUAAAGACAAGUUCAAGGCAACUUUAGUUCCAGAAGUGAAGAUUAACUUGCAGUGAAACGAAAUAUUUGCAAAGGAGAAAUUUGUUCAGUUGGAAGGAAUUAUUUUCUAAUUCACGCCUACACUCUUUUCUCUCUUUUGGUUUAACGAAAGAAAAAAAAUCGCUACGCACACAUUUCACCUCUAAAAAGGGCACACGAAGACAAAAUCAGAAUGCUCAAGACACAGGUGACAGGAUGGUGCUUCUUUGUGCUACUCAUGGCCAAUGGUGUAUUUGCACUGCCCAAUCAAUACAUACCGCGAGAGAUUGUGGCGCGUCAGCGUAUUGUGGAGCCACCACGGGUACCAGUUGCACGUAUUGAGGAAGUCAACCGUAAAUUUGCCGAGAAACCCAAUGCCCUGAAGAAGGUAGCUCUGGAUGACAUUGAUGAUGACAUUCAGACAAAUCAAAUCCAAGAAUCCGGACAAGGGUUCUCAUGGACAAAUAUGCUGAGCACCGUGCUGCAGAUGAUGUUCCCCGCCAAUGGCAACAGCAGCCCCACAAAGAGCGAUGACAUUGACAACAAUGUGGGCUUUACACAGUCUCCCUGGACCAAUCUCCUCUCUGUUGGACUCAAAAUUCUAACAGCCAUCCUUGGUGGUGGACAGAACAAUGAUGGUAUCGACAAAGUAGACAACGGUGGUGGUGGAUCACCCAUGCAGGUAAAUUCAUCUCAUAUCCAUCCAGAGAGUAUAUUUUCACAAUUUUUUUUCAUUCACAAAAAGAACCCCAAAGCAGUUGAAAGUAGAAUUUCCCUGUGAUUCUAUUAAUCCACCUUGUAGUGUUCUUUAGUUUAUUUUUUAUUAUUACCCCCCUGCUUAUUAAUGCUGGCAAUGUCCCUUCACCCUAACGGAAAUAAUGAGAAAAACUUAGAAAAUGUGUAAAUAAUGCAUAUUACAGUCCCAAAGGCAAUGAAAAAGCAUUUUCCGUUCAUUUUAUCCUAAUGUACAGUGUUUGAUGGAUUCUUGUAUGUUUCUCAAUGAUCUAUAUUAAUUAGGAAUUUCAUUAUUAAAAUUAGUUCAAAGCAAGGCUAAAACUUUAGGUUUAAUUUGUAUUAGGAUUGGACUUAGAUUUAUUUAUUUAGAUAAAUUAGGAAACCGAUAAAAUUUAAAACUCUCCUACUAAGAGAAAUAAGAUUUUAAAAGACAGAUUAGUCCAUAAUUAAAGAUAAUUUUUAGGGAGAGGGAUGACUGAAAGCUUAGCCUUUUUUCUACUAAUCCAGAUUCGUCCAUUAAUUCGCUAGAAAAAGCGAAUUAAAAAACGUAUAAAAAGUUUUUAUUUUUAUAGAAAUUAAAUGGAUUCGGUUGAAUAAAGUCUUUUAGGAGUUCUUGUAUGAAAGUUAAAGAAUUCUGGUUGAAUUUUCUAGCCAGUUUUCAUAUAAGGUUUGCAAAACCAUCUAGGAUAUAUCAACGUUUUUUUUUUCUUGCUUGAGAAAAUUCGUUAAUUUUAUUAAGUCCAUAAAAUUGUACAAAGAGAACUACCAGAAGUAUUCUCAAUAUGAGAUUUUUUCCACUAUCUUUCGUCUUAAAUUCAGUUCUUGUGAUCGGUUUUAGGACGCUCUCUCCUUGAUUUUUUUUAAGAAUCAACAUAAAGAAGUUAAUUAAAUAGAUUAAUCCUAAUCUUAAUAUUUUUUAAAGUACAACACUGCAAAUCUUUAGAAUUUUUUUUUUAAAUUAAUUUCGGAUUAAAUCUAAAAAAGAAAAUAAAAUAAAUUGGAGCUUUUUGCCAUGGGACAGUAGUGUACAGGCUGUAGUUAUGUUUCUUUUCAUCUUACAUCUUGGAAAUUGGUUUCUGGCAAUGACAGGGAAUCCUGGCGGCUGUUCUCUCAGCAAUGUUGGGCGCGAAAGAUCCUGAGCAGGUUAACACGAUGGCUAAGCAGGCUGGUGAGGUGAGUGGUACUUGUACAGAGCAAAAAAAAAUCUCUUCCAACUUCUUUUCUUACCACAUUUCAUACAACUUUGGUGUGUGGGAGUGGAGGGUGAAAUUGAUUCUUUUAUUUUUGUGUGGGUGUCUAGCUUUACUGUGCAGCUCAUCAGUUUUUUUUUUACCUUUUAGCAAAAUUAUUUAAAUAUCUUCUUUUUUAUUAAUUUUCUUGCAGUUUAUCAAUAUCGUGAUGAAUCUCUUGGAUGCCCUCAAGACAUCCUUCUCGCAUCGUUCCAUCCGUGCUCGUUCAAUUGGUAAGAAGGACUCUGUGAGUGAUGCUGCCGUUGCUGGGUUGUCCAUGCUCAAGGGCUAUGCGAAGACGUACAAGAAUAGCGACGACAAGUGCAUGCAGAAGUAUCUCUGUGAGGCCAAUAGGGAGUGCAAUGCUGACAUCGGAGGCACAAGUAUAUUCUGCCAAUUGGGUACAUACGCCACCAGCUUUGUCCUCGAACGAACCACAAGUACAGCCUUUGAAACCUUCUACGAGGCUGGACGACAGGGAAGGUCCGGUAUUGAUUGCCGACAACUCUACUUGGAAUGCAAUGAAGUUUAAUCUUUCAACAACAAAAAAAAAACUCUUCUGAGCACGUGACAAAGUUAUUAAGUAUAAAUUUAUAUACAAACCCUCUUCUAUGUAAUUUAUUUAUUUAUAUAUCCUAGGGUAGAAUGAAAUAAAUUGAAUGUGUGUGUGUUUUAGAUCUUAUAGAAAAAAAAUCAUGUUUUAUUUUUACAUGUGAUUUUCUUAUUUUGCGAUUUCUUACAAUAAAACAUCAUUUAGCGUCA